UAACAUAUACAUUGUAAUUUGUUUCCUAUUUGCCCCUCCCCCCAAAUAUCCAUAAAUACAAUCAAGUUAGAGCAUUGGACAAUAUCACAGAUUCCUCUAUGAACCCAUAUAUAUAUAUUGGCUAACAAAUUUCAGAAUUUUAACAAAAAGCAGAAAAGAACAAGUCAUUUUGGGGUAAAUUUGGCUUUGACAGAACCUUCAAUCUAUUGAAAUAUUUAAAGGAAUUUACAAUAGGUAUAUAAAAAUAUAUGCUAAAUCUGAAUAAAAAAAUAAACAAUCCAUUAAAACAUGCAGAAAAGGAUAUGAGAACUGAAGAAAGGCAACAUUAAAAGGAAAGAUAAAAGUGUGGGAGCAGGACCAGAGCUUAGAGAACAGAGAUGGGUGUAUACAGUCCAUGAGCUUUUCUUCACAUGGUCUUCUGAAGUGCAAGCUUCGAGUAAACAUCCAUUUCUCAUGAUCAACUCCUGACUUGAGCAAGGUUAACAAAAUCAGAUACAGAUUAACAAAAGGUAACAAUAAAACUAUUAUAGGGGUUCAUAUAACUCCUUUCUUCUUGAAAGAAAGAAAUUUUCUAUUUUAUACCUUAUUCUUUGUUGCUUUGAAAUUUAUUAAAGUAUAAUUUAAUAACUGCAGUGUGACUGAUUUUAGGUGAUGCUUUUUAUUGUUGUACAGUAUUCAGAAGCUACCUGGCUAUUCAUAUUUCCUAAUCUGAAAGCAUUCUCAUUGGAAAAGUCUAAUUCACGUGUAAGUCAGGGAGGCUGUGAAAACUGCAGAGUGUUACAAAAAAAGUAAAUGAGAAUACAUAGAUCUAUCACAAAUAUGACCUCAAUACAAAGAUCCUUUCUUUAUUCCAUAUGCCAGCCAAGAUUAGAUUAUUGGACAGUUAUUAAGAAAGGCAGAGGUGAAACUGACAGCCCUAUCCCAGUGCUCUUGGAGACAAAACAGUUCUAUGCCUAUUUUUUUAAAAAAACAAUGGACUAUAAUGGGCCCCACUUAAUAUGUCUCCACCACCAAUGAGAUAGAAACAAUGCCACAUGUUUUGAAGAUUGCCUUGCAAUAGCAUUGAAUUUUGUUACUUUUUAUUACAGUUUUCCUGGAAGAAAAAUUCAGGAAUACAACUAGUUGGGAUCAACAGUCUCUAGAUUCCUCAAAAUAAAGGAUGAAGUUAACAGAGAAACAUGCAUUUGGAACAAUUCUCCAUUUUUUCUGCAUAAUUGAAUUGAAAAUACAAAUGAUCUGGGAACUAAAUGACACUAUGUUCAACUUCUUUCAUUUUCUAAUAUGGAGGACACCAGGAUAAAAAAACUUUAUGAAGACAAUGGAAGAUAAAAAUGAUACAUAAUCAUAUUAUACCCUCCCCCUUUUACACUGAA